UAUUAUUAUUAUUAGUUUUUUAUUUUAAUUCCAGUGUAAUUAACAUGGAGUGAUAGUAGUUUCUGGUGUACAGUAUUAUGAUACAACAAAUCUAGACAGUGCCCAUGGCUCAUUAUGAAUUUUUCGAAGGAAGGAGGGAACCUUCUGGAUGGUCCUCGAGGCUGUAGAAUCCUACCGGUAUUGAGCACACUGCACUUGCAUUGAUGCCUUGCAGAUCCUCAGGGAAAGUUGAAACAUCACCUUGCCCUUGGGGGUUCAGUCACGAGUUUCUGGAUUGGCGCUUUUCUUCUCCUGCUCUGUGGUCCCACGGAUGGGCUUCUCCUUGGCACUGGAAUGAGAGCCGGUGGGUGGGAGGGAUCGCUCCCAGCACAGCGCCUGGCUCUGAGUACAUGUUCCUCAGACUAGAGAGGAGAGGAAUUGGGGCCAAGAAAUCUCUCUCACCACGGGGACAGCCUGGUUCCCGUGACCGGAACUAAGAUAAGGUCGGCUACCUGUAAGGGAGUAUUAGCCAGCCUUAAAAAGAAAGGAAAGGCUGGCAGGAGUUACAACAUGGAUGAACUCGAGGACUUUAAGCUAAGUGACAGAAGCUGGGCACAAAGAGAGGAACACGCAAUGACCACAGUCACGGGAAGUGAGCUAGAGCAGUCAGAUUCACAAGGCAGAAAGGACCGUGGCAGUUGCCAGGGGCUGGA